rnacentral:rRNA from 1 species
GUAGGGUGCGAGCGUUAAUCGGGAAUUACUGGGGCGUAAAGCGUGCGCAGGCGGUUAUGGUAAGACAGAUGUGAAAUACCCCCGGGGCUCAACCUGGGAACUGCAUUUGUGACUGCAUGGCUAGAGUACGGUAGAGGGGGAUGGAAUUCCGCGUGUAGCAGUGAAAUGCGUAGAUAUGCGGAGGAACACCGAUGGCGAAGGCAAUCCCCUGGACCUGUACUGACGCUCAUGCACGAAAGCGUGGGGAGCAAACAGGAUUAGAUACCCUGGUAGUCCACGCCCUAAACGAUGUCAACUGGUUGUUGGGAAUUAGUUUUCUCAGUAACGAAGCUAACGCGUGAAGUUGACCGCCUGGGGAGUACGGCCGCAAGGUUG